AGCUGUUGGUCGCAAGUGGCGGCGCAGCUACCUCUCAGCCGCAGAAGGCCUCGCGGCAAGCUAUUCGUCCGGGAAGUGGCAACCCGCACAACAUCGUUCUACCAUCGACAUGACAAGCGAGUCCCGCCCGUAGACUCUCUCUUUGCAGUCUUGGAGCCAUCUCAUGUGUGUAUCUAUGCAGUAUGAAUGAACAUAUAUGCCUCUAUGCAUCAGAGCGUGGUGAAUGUGGUAUACUGAAGAAGCCAGAGCAUGCCUUGCAGGUCUGAAUCUUGCCGUGAUGCAACUAAACAAUCCUAUAAUCUUGGAGCUGGAUAGCACAACCUUGUCUUCGGCUGUAAAUAACAAGUGUUGGAAAUUCUGAAGAAUUUACGACAUCUACAAAAAGAUAAAAAAUCUGAAGACAAAACAGCAGUCCAUAACUUGGUAGUUCUGGGAGAACUAGGAACAUUGGUGUUUGCUUUGGCCAGUAUACCAGGAACUCACCGAACUGGUUGUAACCGGCACAUUGUAAACUCUGGUCUUGUGAAGCAAUAAACUAAUGUACAGGGCUUUUAAGUUCUUGAUA